AGGGAAUCUUCCGCAAUGGACGAAAGUCUGACGGAGCAACGCCGCGUGAGUGAUGAAGGUUUUCGGAUCGUAAAGCUCUGUUGCCAGGGAAGAACGUCCUGUAGAGUAACUGCUACAGGAGUGACGGUACCUGAGAAGAAAGCCCCGGCUAACUACGUGCCAGCAGCCGCGGUAAUACGUAGGGGGCAAGCGUUGUCCGGAAUUAUUGGGCGUAAAGCGCGCGCAGGCGGCUGUUUAAGUCUGGUGUAUAAUCCUGGGGCUCAACUCCGGGUCGCACUGGAAACUGGACGGCUUGAGUGCAGAGGAGGAGAGUGGAAUUCCACGUGUAGCGGUGAAAUGCGUAGAGAUGUGGAGGAACACCAGCGGCGAAGGCGGCUUUCUGGACUGUAACUGACGCUGAGGCAUGAAAGCGUGGGGAGCAAAC
rnacentral:rRNA from 1 species